UAAUGCACUUUUAUAGCCUUUCUUUCCACCACUGUUAAUAUUACCCUUGUUAUUGUCAUUUUCAUAUUUGAGGAAGCUUACCACACACACAAGCACACACACACAGACACACACAGACACACACGCACGCAUACAUACACGUCCUGAACUAUCACACUGAGGCAGCAUCCCAUAUCAAUCCAGUAACUAGACUACUUCUCCUUCAACAGGUAAACCUCCAUCAUUUGACUUAUCAUGUCUUUCUUAUUUGUAUGACUGGCUGUUAAUUCAUAUAGUACAGUUAACUUGUUUCAUGGAAAAACAAUCAUUCAUUCUUUCUUUCUUUCUGUACCUGUUUUGCCUUCUCUUUUAUAUCAUGACAUAUGACUCAAAAUAUCUCCUCAUUACAAUUAUUUUCUUACAGAAACCUUAACCUGUGGAGAAGCAUCCAAUAUUCCCCAUCAAAAGCUGUGGAACCUACACCUGUUUGAACACCACAUCCUAAUCCAAAGAUUCAUAUGAAGCUAAAGUUGUCCAGAAUACCUUCAAUCACAAGUUCAAGGCCACAUAAAAAGGAGCCCAGACAUCAUCUCCAAAUUCAUCUGGAACUCCCCUGGGCAGACCGUCAACUAUGUACAGAAAGCCCUCUUCGUUACUUGGGGCACUUUCAUUCUCCUGUUGCACUACAAUAAUCAACAUGCAGGAUUUUGCCCUGGCAAAACUACUGGAUUGCUUCUUCAAUCAGGAAAAGACUUUCCCAAGCCAGUGUUAUGAUGUGCAACAUCAGGACUGUGGGCAAAGACAACGGGACUCAUGAUUACGUUGUCUAGUGUGGUCUACCAUGUCUGUGCUCAAAAUAAUCAAAUAUCAUAUAUUCAGCACUGACUUGACCCUUGACAGGACCCUUUCCUUCAAGAAUCAUUUAAAAGGAACGGCAGCCAAGGUGAAGUCCUGGAACAACUUGCUCAGCAAGCUUGCUGGUGCAAAAUGGGGUAUUUCAACCUCCACACUACGAACCUCAGCAAUAUUGUGUCCCUGUUUGGUCCAGGUCAUACACCAUGUGGACACCCAGCUUAACACAACCAUGCAAAUGAUUACUGGAACAAUACGCACAACACCACUCCCUUGGCUCCCCGUUCAAUCAAACAUUCCACCCCCACACAUCCAGCAGACUCCCACCACCUACCAAUCUAUGAAGAUAUCUUCAACCCAUCCAGACGGCCUAGAAAAAGGAGUGGGUGUCCCAGGAGGUUCCCAAUAAACACCCGAUGUUAGACCCUUCUCAACAGGUCCCUGACCUCCCAAGGAGACAGUGGUCAACCCUCAACAGGUUCAGGACUGCACAUGGCCCCUGCUUGGCCAGCCUUCACAGAUGGGGCAGCAGCCCUAACCCAUUGUGUGCUUGUGGAAAAGAGCAGACAAUGGAACACAUCAUUGAAGCCGGCCCUCUCCAACGACUGAGGGGAGGAUUGGCCACCCUCCACACAGCAGACCAGGAGGCAACUGAAAGACUUUGUAUUUCCUAAAUAAAUAGCACUUUUUUUGGGGACAUUGACUCAUGACAUACAACAUCUUGAAUGUUUUAUUUGAAUGCUGAAUUUUGUAAGGGGAAAAUUUGGAUACGCCAGGUUGUAUUCACAUAUAUAUAUAUCUCUCUCUCUAUAUAUAUAUAACAUCUGUCAAGUAACCAUAUAUGUUCAUGCUUAAGGACACACACAAACAACAAAAUGUGUGUUUUGGUA